GCCAGCAUGGGCUAGUGGUUUGAGCGUUGGACUGUGACUCUGGAGACCAGCGUUCAAUUCCCUGCUUGGCC